AAAAUUAUAAUCAAGUACAAACCCAUACAUUCAAACUCAAAAAUGUAUAUUCAAGAGCCAAAAAAGGCGUAAAGAGAAGGAUAUGGCUGUUAAAGCGGUUGUAAAACGUACUAAAACUCUUGAAAACAAGAAUAAAACAACAGAACUAAUGUUGGAACGUGAGCGUUGCCUUGUUGUUGAAAUCCACCACACUAUUUUCUCUGCUAGUUUUUGUCCGUGUAAAAAAGCUGCUUCAACCACCAUAUAC
rnacentral:lncRNA from 1 species